AAUCAACGCUGGCGGCGUGCCUAACACAUGCAAGUCGAACGCGAAAGCCCGCAAGGGUAAGUAGAGUGGCGCACGGGUGAGUAACACGUGGACAACCUGCCUUCGAGUGGGGAAUAACCUUCCGAAAGGAGGGCUAAUACCGCAUAACACCUCGGGACACAAGUUCUGGGGUUGAAAAGAGCAAUUUGCUCGAAGAGGGGUCCGCGCCUGAUUAGCUGGUUGGUGAGGUAACGGCUCACCAAGGCUUCGAUCAGUAGCCGUCCUGAGAGGGAGCACGGCCACACUGGAACUGAGACACGGUCCAGACUCCUACGGGAGGGCAGCA
rnacentral:rRNA from 1 species